rnacentral:rRNA from 1 species
AACGCUAGCUACAGGCUUAACACAUGCAAGUCGAGGGGCAGCAUGAACUUAGCUUGCUAAGUUUGAUGGCGACCGGCGCACGGGUGAGUAACACGUAUCCAACCUUCCGUUUACUCAGGGAUAGCCUUUCGAAAGAAAGAUUAAUACCUGAUAGUAUGGUGAGAUUGCAUGAUAGCACCAUUAAAGAUUUAUUGGUAAACGAUGGGGAUGCGUUCCAUUAGGUAGUAGGCGGGGUAACGGCCCACCUAGCCGACGAUGGAUAGGGGUUCUGAGAGGGAGGUCCCCCACAUUGGAACUGAGACACGGUCCAAACUCCUACGGGAGGCAGCAGUGAGGAAUAUUGGUCAAUGGGCGAGAGCCUGAACCAGCCAAGUAGCGUGAAGGAUGAAGGUCCUACGGAUUGUAAACUUCUUUUAUACGGGAAUAAAGUAUCCUACGUGUAGGAUUUUGUAUGUACCGUAUGAAUAAGCAUCGGCUAACUCCGUGCCAGCAGCCGCGGUAAUACGGAGGAUGCGAGCGUUAUCCGGAUUUAUUGGAUUUAAAGGGAGCGCAGACGGGAGAUUAAGUCAGUUGUGAAAGUUUGCGGCUCAACCGUAAAAUUGCAGUUGAUACUGGUUUCCUUGAGUGCAGUUGAGGCAGGCGGAAUUCGUGGUGUAGCGGUGAAAUGCUUAGAUAUCACGAAGAACUCCGAUUG